rnacentral:rRNA from 1 species
UAAGGAAUAUUGCUCAAUGGGAGAAAUCCUGAAGCAGCAACGCCGCGUGGAGGAUGAAGGGUCUAUGACUUGUAAACUCCUGUAAAGAAGGAAAAAAUUCCCAUUAGAUGGGAGAUGAUGGUACUUCUGGAGUAAGCCCCGGCUAACUACGUGCCAGCAGCCGCGGUAAUACGUAGGGGGCAAGCGUUGUCCGGAUUUACUGGGUGUAAAGGGCGCGCAGGCGGGAUAAAAAGUCAGUGGUGAAAUCCUACAGCUUAACUGUAGAACUGCCUUUGAUACUUUUAUUCUUGAGUUCGGGAGAGNGAGACGGAAUUCCAGGUGUAGUGGUGAAAUACGUAGAUAUCUGGAAGAACACCAGUUGCGAAGGCGGUCUCUUGGUCCGAUACUGACGCUGAGGCGCGAAAGCGUGGGGAGCAAACA